rnacentral:rRNA from 1 species
AGUGAACGCUGGCGGUAGGCCUAACACAUGCAAGUUGAACGGCAGCACAGUAAGAGCUUGCUCUUACGGGUGGCGAGUGGCGGACGGGUGAGGAAUACAUCGGAAUCUACUUUUUCGUGGGGGAUAACGUAGGGAAACUUACGCUAAUACCGCAUACGACCUACGGGUGAAAGCAGGGGAUCUUCGGACCUUGCGCGAUUGAAUGAGCCGAUGUCGGAUUAGCUAGUUGGCGGGGUAAAGGCCCACCAAGGCGACGAUCCGUAGCUGGUCUGAGAGGAUGAUCAGCCACACUGGAACUGAGACACGGUCCAGACUCCUACGGGAGGCAGCAGUGGGGAAUAUUGGACAAUGGGCGCAAGCCUGAUCCAGCCAUACCGCGUGAGUGAAGAAGGCCUUCGGGUUGUAAAGCCCUUUUGUUGGGAAAGAAAAGCAGCAGGUUAAUACCCCGCUGUUCUGACGGUACCCAAAGAAUAAGCACCGGCUAACUUCGUG